rnacentral:rRNA from 1 species
CCUACGGGGGGCUGCAGUGGGGAAUAUUGGACAAUGGGGGCAACCCUGAUCCAGCCAUGCCGCGUGUGUGAAGAAGGCCCUCGGGUUGUAAAGCACUUUCAGUGAGGAAGAACGCCUGGUGGUUAAUACCCAUCAGGAAAGACAUCACUCACAGAAGAAGCACCGGCUAACUCCGUGCCAGCAGCCGCGGUAAUACGGAGGGUGCGAGCGUUAAUCGGAAUUACUGGGCGUAAAGCGCGCGUAGGUGGCUUGAUAAGCCGGUUGUGAAAGCCCCGGGCUCAACCUGGGAACGGCAUCCGGAACUGUCAAGCUCGAGUGCAGGAGAGGAAGGUAGAAUUCACGGUGUAGCGGUGAAAUGCGUAGAGAUCGGGAGGAAUACCAGUGGCGAAGGCGGCCUUCUGGACUGACACUGACACUGAGGUGCGAAAGCGUGGGUAGCAAACAGGAUUAGAUACCCCGGUAGUC